GCCCUCAUAGCUCAGUCGGUAGAGCGCACCCUUGGUAAGGGUGAGGUCGGGGGUUCAAGUCCCCUUGAGGGCU
rnacentral:tRNA from 1 species